CUACGGGUCGCUCCAGUGGGGAAUAUUGGACAAUGGGGGAAACCCUGAUCCAGCAAUGCCGCGUGUGUGAAGAAGGCCUGCGGGUUGUAAAGCACUUUCGGUUGGGAGGACUGCUUCUAGCACUAAUAUUGUUGGAAGUUGACGUUACCUUCAGAAGAAGCACCGGCUAACUCCGUGCCAGCAGCCGCGGUAAUACGGAGGGUGCAAGCGUUAAUCGGAAUUACUGGGCGUAAAGCGCGCGUAGGCGGCUAGAUCAGUCGGGUGUGAAAGCCCCGGGCUUAACCUGGGAACUGCAUCCGAUACUGUCUAGCUUGAGUACAGGAGAGGAGAGUGGAAUUCCACAUGUAGCGGUGAAAGGCGUAGAUAUGUGGAGGAACACCAAAGGCGAAGGCAGCGCUCUGGUCUGAUACGUAUGAUGGGGUGCGAAAGCGUGGGGAGAAAACAGGAUUAGAUACCCGAGUAGUC
rnacentral:rRNA from 1 species